GGAGGCAUGGCUCAAGUGGUAGAGCUAUUGCCUAGCAAGCACAAGAUCUUGAGUUCAAAACUCAAUAUGGCCA
rnacentral:tRNA from 1 species